ACACUGACGACAUGGUUCUACAAUCAACUUUCGAUGGUAGGAUAGAGGCCUACCAUGGUGGUAACGGGUAACGGGGUGUUAGGGCACGACACCGGAGAGGGAGCCUGAGAAACGGCUACCACAUCCAAGGAUGGCAGCAGGCGCGCAAAUUACCCAAUCCCGACACGGGGAGGUAGUGACAAUAAAUAACAAUACGGGGUUCUUUAGGAUCUCGUAAUUGGAAUGAGUACAAUUUAAAUCUCUUAACGAGGAACAAUUGGAGGGCAAGUCUGGUGCCAGCAGCCGCGGUAAUUCCAGCUCCAAUAGCGUAUAUUAAAGUUGCUGCAGUUAAAAAGCUCGUAGUUGAAUUUCGGGACCAAUAUGUCGGUCGUGCUUUUGUACGUACUGAUAUAAUUGGUUUCUCCCUUCUGAAGAACCUUGAUGUCAUUAAUUUGGUGUCUUGGGGAAUCAGGACUGUUACUUUGAAAAAAUUAGAGUGUUUAAAGCAGGCUCGCGCUUGAAUACAUUAGCAUGGAGUGAUGAAAUAGGACGUUUGAUUCUAUUUUGUUGGUUUCUAGGAUCGACGUAAUGAUUAAUAGGGAUAGUUGGGGCAUUAGUAUUCAAUUGUCAGAGGUGAAAUUCUUGGAUUUAUUGAAGACUAACUACUGCGAAAGCAUUUGCCAAGGAUGUUUUCAUUAAUCAGUGAACGAAAGUUAGGGGAUCGAAGACGAUCAGAUACCGUCGUGGUCUUAACCAUAAACUAUGCCGACUAGGAAUCGGGCGAUGUUGACAAAAUGACGCGCUCGGCACCUCAUGGGAAACCAAAGUGUUUGGGUUCAGACCAAG
rnacentral:rRNA from 1 species